UGAUCCUGUUUUCCCACCUCUCGAAGAGCGGACAUAGUACCUGCUUUAAACAGCUAUUGUAACGAUUAUAUGUGACCAUGUAUUCAAAGUGUUCAGUUAAGUGCCUGGGGCAUAGUGGGUGCUGGAUAAAAUGGAGCUGUUAAUAUUUUGAAGUGAAUAUGUAAGAAAUUAAUACAACUGCACUACAUUAGCCAUUAAAACACAUAAGUUCACAUAUAUUCACGUAAAUAUACUUUGUGAAAACACAUAGAUAACAUAAAAAGAGUUAAUUUCACAAUACAAGGUGUAGCUAAUAGUCAUAACAUUGUUAGUAUUCUUUUAGAAAUAUUGAAAGGACUUCCAAUUUUCUAGAAAUCAUGAAUAUAUUUCAUUUAGUAUGUAUUAUAAGAAAUUUAAUUAUUUAUUCUAUAACUUUGACAUGCUUAAUUGUCCAUUAUUAACAGAUUUCAAAACAUUUCUACAUUCCAGAUGUCACCUCCGUAAAUGGUGAAUUAGUACUUACAGUUCCCAGUGCUUUGCUGUUUUAUCUUCAUCACAUAUUUGAGAGAAUCAUAACCCUAGAGAAUCCAACUAUUGUCACCUAUGGGCCUGAAAUCCUGCUGUUAAAUUGGGCAGACGAAAAAUGCACAUCCAGGCUGAGUGGUCUCAUGUUAAAUUUCUUACCGUAAACAUCAAGUGGGCCCUUAAUGCUGGUACGCAAUUAUACAAUGCCUAACCCACUGCUAACUCAGUCCCUCUCUCAGUCUCAGACAGUGAUUCAAAUCUUUUUUUCUCUGAACAAACCCUCAGCAAUUCAUCCACCAUCCUUAUUCUCAGAUGAUGACCUUACUUCCUACUUUACUGGGGAAGUGAAAUUAAUCAGAGGCAAACUUGCACAGACCUACCGCACCUACCACUGACCACACCUACUACCCACCAUCUUCUGCACCCACCACACCUCCCCACCCACAGCAUCUGCGCCUACAAGCUCUGACUCCUGUCUGAUAACAGGAUAACUCUCCAUCCUCCUGUCUAAAGCCAGUCCCUCUACUUGUGCCCUAAAACCCAUCUCUUCUCACCUACUCAAGAACUUCUCCUCUUCCUCCAACAUCAUCAUGUUUUACUCUCAAUAAUUUGCAUCACCACACA
rnacentral:lncRNA from 1 species